rnacentral:rRNA from 1 species
GACGAACCGUCCUAACGUUGUUCGGAUUCACUGGGCUUAAAGGGCGCGUAGGCGGACGAGUAAGUCCGGGGUGAAAUCUUUCGGCUCAACCGGAGAAGUGCCUCGGAAACUACUCGCCUCGAGGGGGUAGGGGCCUGUGGAACUUCUGGUGGAGCGGUGAAAUGCGCAGAUAUCAGGAAGAACACCCGUGGCAAGGCGGCUCUCUAGUACGGUACUGACGCUGAGACGCGAAAGCGUGGGGAGCGAACAGG